rnacentral:lncRNA from 1 species
UGAGCCUAUAUGUCUAUCUAACUAUCCUUUUGCGUCUUUGUUUCAGGUGCCUUAUGCAGGCCUGCUUCGACACAUGCUGAAGCUGCCAGCUUCACUGAGUUGCAACCUCUUGAUUCAUCGUACAGGCCGGUAUCCACAUAUCUGACUGGAGCUACAAGGUCACACACAGAUCCACAAGUGCUCGCCUUCAUGGAAAGGGUCUUACAGGUACUUAAUGGUAUUAAGCAGACCCAGCAGGCCCAUUCACAAUGCCUUAAUGAGCUGCUCAGCAAUGCCAACAGUGCAUCUUCACAACCUUGUGACCUCCCUGAUUUGCCUUUUUUGGAUGCGACAGACGUGCUUGACUAUGACAAAAAGCUUGAGACGGACAGACAAGCUCAAC